UAAAAAAGAAUAGAUUUGCCGUAGAUAGUGGGUGCGAGAGCUUAAUAUCCCGCCGAGGUUUUAGAUAAAUUGAGAUUACUAAAGCUUUUGAUGUCUACUUUUGGCAACAAAAGCUUUUUAUAAUGUUGC
rfam:Clostridium difficile 630 complete genome